UACGAAGGGGGCUAGCGUUGCUCGGAAUCACUGGGCGUAAAGCGCACGUAGGCGGACUCUUAAGUCGGUGGUGAAAUCCUGGAGCUCAACUCCAGAACUGCCUUCGAUACUGAGAGUCUCGAGUCCGGGAGAGGUGAGUGGAACUGCGAGUGUAGAGGUGAAAUUCGUAGAUAUUCGCAAGAACACCAGUGGCGAAGGCGGCCAACUGGUCCGGUACUGACGCUGAGGUGCGAAAGCGUGGGGAGCAAACAGG
rnacentral:rRNA from 1 species